UUGGAGCGCCGGUAUCGAUCCGGCUCUCGCAUGCUAAGCGAGCGCUCUACCAUCUGAGCUACGCCCCU
rnacentral:tRNA from 13 species